GACGAACGCUGGCGGCGUGCCUAAUACAUGCAAGUCGAACGCUUCUUUCCUCCCGAGUGCUUGCACUCAAUUGGAAAGAGGAGUGGCGGACGGGUGAGUAACACGUGGGUAACCUACCCAUCAGAGGGGGAUAACACUUGGAAACAGGUGCUAAUACCGCAUAACAGUUUAUGCCGCAUGGCAUAAGAGUGAAAGGCGCUUUCGGGUGUCGCUGAUGGAUGGACCCGCGGUGCAUUAGCUAGUUGGUGAGGUACGGCUCACCAAGGCCACGAUGCAUAGCCGACCUGAGAGGGUGAUCGGCCACACUGGGACUGAGACACGGCCCAGACUCCUACGGGAGGCAGCAGUAGGGAAUCUUCGGCAAUGGACGAAAGUCUGACCGAGCAACGCCGCGUGAGUGAAGAAGGUUUUCGGAUCGUAAAACUCUGUUGUUAGAGAAGAACAAGGACGUUAGUAACUGAACGUCCCCUGACGGUAUCUAACCAGAAAGCCACGGCCAACUACGUG
rnacentral:rRNA from 1 species